rnacentral:lncRNA from 1 species
UCACUUGCUGCUACAACACUGGAGGAAUCCAUUGUUGUUCUGCACACACUUGUUAAUCAGUACUGAGGUAUAACGAUACUGGCCAUUGCCAUAGCACUGGGCAUUGAUGGAAGCAGGACUUGGAGCUGGAGGAUGGUACCACGGGGUGAUCACUACAUUCUGGCACGAGGCAACAAAGUUUCUGCCGCAGUUGAGGGUGCCUCCAUUGUUGCUGAAGCAAUCGUUAAGAUUGAUGCUGCUCCUUUGGAGCUGGCCAUUGGGCUUGUAACAAUUGGCAGUCAAUGUUGUGCCGCUUAUAACCUCUGAGUUCUUGUCACAGGUAUCCUCAAAGUUGCAUGCCUGCAUCAAAACCAAAUUGAGUAUGAUUAGCUAUAGUUCCAGUAUGGGCAUUUGCAACAAACUAAUAGCUUACAGCGUUGCUUGUCCCUGCAAGCGCUACAAGAGCAAAGACUAAGUAGAUAAUAAA